CAUUACGAAGCUUAGAGCGUUAACCUUUUAAGUUAAAAUUAGAGAUGUCCAUUCUCCGUAGUGA
rnacentral:tRNA from 1 species